UACGUAUGGUGCAAGCGUUAUCCGGAUUUACUGGGUGUAAAGGGAGCGUAGGCGGCGCGUUAAGUCUGAUGUGAAAACCCGAGGCUCAACCACGGGAGUGCAUUGGAAACUGGCGGGCUGGAGUGCCGGAGAGGUAAGCGGAAUUCCUAGUGUAGCGGUGAAAUGCGUAGAUAUUAGGAGGAACACCAGUGGCGAAGGCAGCCUGCUGGACGAUGACUGACGUUGAGGCUCGAAAGCGUGGGGAGCAAACAGG
rnacentral:rRNA from 1 species